rnacentral:rRNA from 1 species
GCAGCAGCCGCGGUAAUACGAAGGGUGCAAGCGUUACUCGGAAUUACUGGGCGUAAAGCGUGCGUAGGUGGUGGUUUAAGUCCGUUGUGAAAGCCCUGGGCUCAACCUGGGAAUUGCAGUGGAUACUGGGUCACUAGAGUGUGGUAGAGGAUAGUGGAAUUUCCGGUGUAGCAGUGAAAUGCGUAGAGAUCGGAAGGAACAUCUGUGGCGAAGGCGACUAUCUGGGCCAACACUGACACUGAGGCACGAAAGCGUGGGGAGCAAACAGGAUUAGAUACCCCCGUAGUCCCUGUCUCUUAUAC